GUCCCCGUAGCCCAAUGGCAGAGGCAGGCGACUUAAAAUCGCCCCAGUGCGGGUUCGAGACCCGUCGGGGACACCA
rnacentral:tRNA from 1 species